rnacentral:rRNA from 1 species
GAUGAACGCUAGCGACAGGCUUAACACAUGCAAGUCGAGGGGCAGCAUAAAAGUAGCAAUACUUUGGUGGCGACCGGCGCACGGGUGAGUAACGCGUAUGCAACCUACCUAUCAGAGGGGAAUAACCCGGCGAAAGUCGGACUAAUACCGCAUAAAACAGGGGCACCGCAUGGUGAUAUUUGUUAAAGAAAUUCGCUGAUAGAUGGGCAUGCGUUCCACUAGGUAGUUGGUGAGGUAACGGCUCACCAAGCCGACGAUGGAUAGGGGAACUGAGAGGUUGGCCCCCCACACUGGUACUGAGACACGGACCAGACUCCUACGGGAGGCAGCAGUGAGGAAUAUUGGUCAAUGGGCGAGAGCCUGAACCAGCCAAGUCGCGUGAAGGAAGAAGGAUCUAUGGUUCGUAAGCUUCUUUUGCAGGGGAAGAAAGUGCGGGACGUGUCCUGUUUUGUAUGUACCCUGAGAAUAAGGAUCGGCUAACUCCGUGCCAGCCGCCGCAGUAA